GAUCAAUUGGAUGCGUGUACUUAGUACUUGCUGAUAUUACAUUUAUAGGAAAGAAGAGAGAGAGAGAGCAGAAUAUUUGAGACGAUCGUAGUUGGUAUAUUUUCUAUUAUUUGAUUCAACCGUUACAUUGCAUGAGACAGUCACCAGGUAAGAAACAAGCAGCCAUGUCAUCUAAUUCUCACACAGCAGAGAAAUCUAGCAACGGUGAGUGUCAGAAAGAAAAGGACACUCAAGGAUGUCACCAUAGUAACAAAGGUUGCUGUCAGUGUGAUACUCAUUGUACAGGAUGUCACCAUGGAGAUA